rnacentral:lncRNA from 1 species
CAAGACCAGCCUGGGCAACAUGGCAAAACCCUGUCUCUAUAAAAAACUAGCUGGGCAUGGUGGCACAUGCUUGAGGUCCCAGCUACCUAGGAGGCCGAGGUGGGAGGAUCACUUGAGCCCUGGAGGUCAAGGCUGCAGUGAGCCGUGAUGGCACCACUGUACUCCAGCCUGGGCAACAGAGUGAGACCCUAUCUCAAAAAUAGCCCAACAACAAACAACAGGCCAACGUCCCCCGCUGCAAGCUGGGCAGAUGGCCAGGCUGGGCACACCACAGACUGUCUUCUGAGCAAACAUGGGUGCCGCAGCACUGGGCCAACCUGAAUAAAGAGCCUCAUGGUUGAGGUGCGUAUAGCAGGGGCUGGGGGCUUGGAGCAGACCUGGGAGCUGCAUUCUCUGCCUUUUGAAACAUCUGCUGGGCGGGGUGGCUCACGCCUGUAAUCCCAGCAC